AGAGGCACUGGUAACGCUCGAACCUGUGGCUGCUGCUUGUUCUUCCAUGUCUCUCCCCUCGCUUCGCCCCCUGCUUUUCCACCAUGAAUCAUCUACCAAAUUGCUUCCUCUCCCAAUUCCAAGAUCGAAUUUUCACCGGAAACGGGAUCCGGGAGCACUCAAUAUCAGAGCUCACUCUGGCAACCCCAAGAGGGCCGUCCCCCGAUGGGAAAAUGCGCUCGCCACCGCUGCAAGCCUCUACCCUCUGUACGUCACCAUCGGUGGCUCCGUCGCAGUCGUGAAUCCGUCGGCUUUCUCCUGGUUCGUGGCCCGAGGCCCGGCUUCUUAUACCUGUGCUCUGGCUUUCAUAAUGCUGGCCAUGGGUCUCACUCUGGAACUCAGGGACCUAUUUGCUCUUUUCCGGAAGCAGCCUUUCUCUAUUCUUUGUGGUUGUGUUGCUCAGUACACAAUAAUGCCAUCUCUUGGAGCAACUGUUAGUAUAGCACUUGGCCUUAAACCAUCUCUUGCUGUGGGGCUAAUUCUGCUGGCUUGUUGCCCUGGAGGAACUGCUUCGAAUGUGGUUACCUUAAUUGCUCGAGGGGAUAUGCCAUUAUCGAUUGUGAUGACUGUAUGCACCACUUUGGCUGCCGUGUUUCUUACUCCUCUUUUAACUAAACUCCUUGCUGGAACUUAUGUUCCUGUGGAUGCCAUCAAACUUUCUUUAAGUACCCUACAGGUAGUUCUUGCUCCAAUUUUGUUGGGGUCUUAUUUGCAAAGUGCAUUUCCAACUGCCGUGAAAGCCGUUAUCCCGUAUGCUCCCCUUGCUGCGGUGCUAACAUCAUCACUUCUUGCAAGCAGUGUAUUCUCAGAAAAUAUUGUUGGAAUUAAAUCAUCAGCUGUUGGUGUUUCCAAUGGAGCUGUUGGCAUCCUUUUUGGUGAAUUGGGUGUUGUUGUGGUCUCAGUGAUUUUGCUACAUCUUGCAGGCUUUUUCCUAGGGUGUGGAUUCUCAUUCUUCAUCUAAAGUCUGAUGGGUUGCAAUUUGGUUACUAGUAUUUUCACUUGAAAUUUGUUGUGACAAUUGUUGUCCUCUUUUUUCAUUGAACUGAUUGAUGAGGUAUCUUGCAGCCUUAAUAUCUGGCUUAGGAGAAAGACAACGUAGAGCAAUCGCAAUUCAGGUCGGUAUGCAAAACUCAUCCUUGGGCGUCAUACUGGCAACUUCACAUUUUGCAUCCCCGCUGGUCGCUUUGCCUGCUGCACUAUCAGCCAUUAUUAUGAACAUCAUUGGUAGCUCUUUAGGGUUAGUGUGGCGAUAUCUGGACCCAACUGAUUACUGAUGCUGCCACGGGUGUGAGCCAGAAACAGUGACGUUGCUGCAUGGCUUUGUAAUCUCUUGUUGUACGCAGCUAGCUCAUAAAGAUAUUGGCUUUAUACAUUCACUAUUCUGUAUAACUACAAGUACAUUGAGAAAUUGAAGCUGACGUAGAUUAAAGUUCUUAGAUAA